rnacentral:rRNA from 1 species
GGCAGCAGCUAAGAAUAUUCCGCAAUGGUCGAAAGACUGACGGAGCGACGCCGCGUGAAUGAUGAAGGCCGUGGGGUUGUAAAGUUCUUUUCUGGAGGGAGAAUAAGUGCAUCAGGGAAUGGGUGCAUGAUGACGUGAAUCCAGGAAUAAGCCCCGGCUAACUACGUGCCAGCAGCCGCGGUAACACGUAGGGGGCAAGCGUUGUUCGGAAUUAUUGGGCGUAAAGGGCGCGCAGGCGGCCUGGCAAGUCUGCUGUUAAAUGGUUGAGCUUAACUCAAUCAUGCGGUGGAAACUACAAGGCUAGAAUCAACGAGGGGAUGCCGGAAUUCCAGGUGUAGGGGUGAAAUCUGUAGAUAUCUGGAAGAACACCAAUGGCGAAGGCAGGCAUCUGGCGACUGAUUGACGCUGAGGCGCGAAGGUGCGGGGAGCAAACAGGUUUAGAUAUCCUGGUAGUCCGCACAGUAAACGAUGUGCACCAGGUGGCGGGUAGCAGUACUCGGUACCGAAGCAAACGCAUUAAGUGCACCGCCUGGGGAGUAUGCUCGCAAGGGUGAAACUCAAAGGAAUUGACGG